rnacentral:tRNA from 1 species
GCCCCGGUAGCUUAGGCUGGUUAAAGCGCCAGCUUGGUAAGCUGGAGAGCGCGGGUUCGAAUCCCGCCCGGGGCU